AGGUGCAAUCAUACUAGCAUUAAUGCACCAGAUACCAUCAGAACUCCACAUUUAAGCGUGCUUGGGAGAGAGUAUUACUAGGAUGGGUGACCUCUUGCGAAGUCCUCGUGUUGCACCUA
rnacentral:rRNA from 1 species